rnacentral:rRNA from 1 species
UUUACCAAAAACAUCACCUCUAGCAUAAAAAGUAUUAGAGGCACUGCCUGCCCAGUGACUUUAGUUCAACGGCCGCGGUAUCCUGACCGUGCAAAGGUAGCAUAAUCACUUGUUCCCUAAAUAGGGACUUGUAUGAAUGGCCCCACGAGGGUUUUGCUGUCUCUUACCUUAAACCAGUGAAAUUGACAUUCCCGUGAAGAGGCGGGGAUAUAAUAAUAAGACGAGAAGACCCUAUGGAGCUUUAAUUCCACAACUCAUAUAAUUCUUGAUACACUCCCUACUAGGGACAAGCUUAUUUUAACUGAGUUAGGAAUUUAGGUUGGGGUGACCUCGGAGUACAAAUAAACCUCCGAGAAAAAUUCUAUUAAGACUAACAAGUCAAAAUUAAAUAUAUCACACUGAUCCGUCAAUGACGAUCAACGAAACAAGUUACCCUAGGGAUAACAGCGCAAUCCUAUUCAAGAGUCCAUAUCGACAAUUAGGGUUUACGACCUCGAUGUUGGAUCAGGACAUCCCAAUGGUGCAGCAGCUAU